CAUUAGGCAUGCUGCCAUCCAAAUCUUGAUUAUAAGCUUCAUUAUGUUGAGUUUGAAUUCCUGGUGUCUUUUUACAGAAGCAAGAAAUCCCGAGUUCACGAUUCGAGAUGUUGGUUACGUAGUCCACCGGCGUGUAGCCAAGGAAGGUCCAGAUGGGGGUUCGUCGUAUCCUGCUCCGAAAGCCAAUCCAAACGAUCACGUGCAUCAUUAAUUAGAAUUUACAUAUUGUAUGUAUUAUUUCGUUUAUUAUAUUUCUAUGUGAAAUACAAUUUGAAUAGAAUAAAAAGUUGAGAUGUAAAAUUAGUGUUGAAAAAUUCAAUAUAAAUGGGAUCGUUUGUAAUUUUGAUAUUUACAAAAUAAUGAUAAAUUUGUUUAAUAUUCGUGGUUAGUACAUGUGGUUGGAAUCGGCUCGGAACUAUAUGAACAAAGAAUGAUACGAUACAUUUGUAUUUUUCGAGCAUCGAAUUUUUUCCUUUGUAUAUAUAUCCUUUACUUCUU